rnacentral:rRNA from 1 species
GGACACGUGAAAUCCUGUCUGAACAUGGGGGGACCACCCUCCAAGCCUAAGUACUCCUUACCGACCGAUAGUGAACAAGUACCGUGAGGGAAAGGUGAAAAGCACCCCGACGAGGGGAGUGAAACAGACCCUGAAACUGGACGCCUACAAGCAGUCGGAGGGCGAAAGCCUGACGGCGUACCUUUUGUAUAAUGGGUCAGCGACUUAGUGUUGCGUGCAAGCUUAAGCCGAUAGGUGUAGGCACAGCGAAAGCGAGUCUUAAUAGGGCGAAUGAGUACGUAGCAUUAGACCCGAAGGCAAGUGAUCUAGAUAUGGGCAGGCUGAAGGUGCAGUAACAUGCACUGGAGGGCCGAACCGUUGAGCGUUGAAAAGCUCUCGGAUGACCUGUGUCUAGGGGUGAAAGGCCAAUCAAACUUGCUGAUAGCUG